CACACGCACUCACGCCACACAUCCAGUUUCUCACGCAAAAAAAAAAAAUCUGAUUUUGGGCCGAGAUGCGUUCGUUCCUUUUCAAACUCCCCGGCGGUAAAUGACGCUAAGGAGCGCAUCUGUAACCCUAUUCGCUGCAUUACCCCAAAGAGUCCCGAAGUUACCGACAGAAGAAGAGUUACAAAGACAGAAACUCGGGAAGAGAAUCCAUCGCUGAAGAAAAUCUUCAUCUCCAAUCUGAGCAACGACUAGGUAUGUUAAUGACAUGUGGUUCAAUUAAGUACUCACUCUCUUAAACUUUAAAUCUUGAAAGAAAUUAUUCGUUUGUGUUUGUGCGUGUGAACUUGAUUUUGUGUGGUGAAUGUAAACUCAGCUGUCAUAACAAGCAGCAGGAGAGCACCUUGUUAACCUUGUGGUAUACUGCAUGCUCAAAACAUCAUAACAUUGUUUAUUUAGGCUGCUCACAUAGCAUUUAUCUUUUUAUUAACAGGCCAAAGAAAACGACUCACUCUGAAGACUUUUCCAAACAGCACUUUGAACAGGUGGCAGGAACCAAAGAAGUUGAGAGGCUUGCUGCCGUCGCCAAGCUGGUCCUGGUGUUGCCACAUUCAAAUGCUGAUGCUGAGAGGGUGUUUUCAGUUGUGGGACUGAACAAAACUAAGACCAGAAAUAGCCUGGCAUUGGAUGGCACCCUGUCCUCAAUAAUGGCCAUAAAGAUGGCCGACCUGGAGCCCUGUUUGAGAUGGGAGCCCCCCUCAUAGGUCAUCAAGGCCUCCAAGAAGGCCACAGGCCAGUACAACCUUGCCCACAGAUCUUAGAAAAUGACUAACCAGCUUCUGAUCUGCAUCUGAUACCUCAUUUUUUGUUAUUUUUGUCAUGUGUUGAUCCAUUGUAUUGCUUAAAAAGGCUACUGUUUAAGCACUUUAAGCACUUUUUUUGUUUGAUGGAACGUGUGGUUGGAGGCUUUGAAUAAUGAAAAAUAUUUCACCCUAACUAAUCUUGUGUCAUUUUUUGCUGAACAUAAAUCAUUAAGUGCUCUUAAGAAUACAAUUAUUAACAAUAUAGGUAAGGUUUCAGUUAAGAAUUAGUUAAAUACCAUUGUAAUCAAAAUGUCAAUCAACCUACCUUGGUCAAAUCUUAAACACAGGUCUAUUAAUUAGGCUAUAUUGUGGUACAUAGACAGUCAUUUGGGCACAACAAUAGUUUUCUGGUUGAAUGUUCAGCUCAAGUCUAGAAGGCCCUACCAGUCAUGAUCAGAUGAACAUGAAUCAGAAUAAGUUCAGGUAUUGCACAUCUUCAGCAUACCACCCAAAAAUCCACUAGAAUGCAGGAAAUAACUAGCCUGACGAUGUCAUACUCAUAAUUCUAGUCAGAAUAUGAGUCUGAUACCGCUCCAUUAGGCUGUGAUUAUGGGGCGUGUUUCAACCG
rnacentral:lncRNA from 1 species